rnacentral:misc_RNA from 1 species
GAAAUGCGAUACCUAGUGUGAAUUGCAGCCAUCGUGAAUCAUCGAGUUCUUGAACGCACAUUGCGCCCGUCGGUAUUCCGGCGGGCAUGCCUGUCUGAGCGUCGUUUCCUUCUUGGAACUUUUGUUAAAGAAAGAUCCAGAGCUGGCCGUGCCACUGGCCCGGCCGAAAAGAAACGUUGCGGACGAAGCGAACUACAUCGGGACGCUUUGGCCGCCGAGCGAAAAUAUAUCAUUGAGCUCGACCUCAGAUCAGGUAGGAGUACCCGCUGAACUUAA